AAACUUUCAACAACGGAUCUCUUGGUUCUGGCAUCGAUGAAGAACGCAGCGAAAUGCGAUAAUUAAUGUGAAUUGCAGACUCAGUGAAUCAUCGAAUCUUUGAACGCACAUUGCGCCCUCUGGCAUUCCGGAGGGCAUGCCUGUUCGAGCGUCAUUA
rnacentral:rRNA from 1 species